UGCCAGCCGCCGCGGUAACACGGGGGGCGCAAGCGUUAUUCGGAAUUAUUGGGUUUAAAGGGUCCGUAGGCGGGAAAAUAAGUCAGUGGUGAAAGCCUGCAGCUUAACUGCAGAACUGCCAUUGAAACUGUUUUUCUUGAGUAUAGAUGAAGUGGGCGGAGUGUAUCAUGUAGCGGUGAAAUGCAUAGAUAUGAUACAGAACACCGAUUGCGAAGGCAGCUCACUAAACUAUUACUGACGCUGAGGGACGAAAGCGUGGGGAGCGAACAGGAUUAGAUA
rnacentral:rRNA from 1 species